GCCUGGCUGGCUCAGUUGGUGAGAGUGUGAGACUCUUGAUCCCGGAGUUGUGAGUUCGAGCCCCAUGUUGGGUG
rnacentral:tRNA from 1 species